GGGGGUAGGCGCCGUGAUACCCCAUCGGUCUUGAAAACCGUCGUGGCAGCGAUGUCACCGUGGGUUCAAAUCCCACACCCA
rnacentral:tRNA from 1 species